UACAGAGGUCUCAAGCGUUGUUCGGAUUCAUUGGGCGUAAAGGGUGCGUAGUCGGCUUUGCAAGUCGGUUGUGAAAUCCCCGGGCUCAACCUGGGAACUGCAUCCGAGACUGCAUUGCUAGAGUAUGGGAGAGGAAAGCGGAAUUUCUGGUGUAGCAGUGAAAUGCGUAGAUAUCAGAAGGAACAUCAGUGGCGAAGGCGGCUUUCUGGACCAAUACUGACGAUCAGGUGCGAAAGCGUGGGGAGCAAACAGG
rnacentral:rRNA from 1 species